rnacentral:tRNA from 1 species
GCUCGGGUAGCCAAGUGGUUACGGCGGGUGGCUCGAGACCACCUGGGCUUUUGCCCGCGCAGGUUCGAAUCCUGCCCCGAGCG